GUUGAUCCUGGCUCCAGGCGAACGCUGCGAGCGUUGCCUAAUUACAUGCAAAUUGAGACGCUGAGAGGGUGGACUUGUUCCGAGCGGAAUGGCAGCGAACGGUGAGUAACGCGUGGGAAAUCUGCCUUUAGCGGGGACAACAUUUGGAAACCGGAUGGCUCAAUACGGAGGGCAUAACAACUUUUAACCAAGUUGUUAAGUUUUGAAGAUGCAAUUGCAUACUCAAAGAUGAUCCCGCGUUGUAUUAGCUAGUUGGUCGAUGUAAAGGCUCGACCAAGGCGGAGUGAUACCAUAGCCGACCUGAGAGUGUGAGCGGCCAGCGAUUGGGACGGACACGGCCCAAAUCCUACGGGACGCAGCAGGUAGGGAAUCUUCGGCAAUGGCGGAAGUCUGACCGAGCACACGCGCCGGCGUGAGUGGAAGAAGGUUUUCGGAUCGUAAAACUCUGUUAGGUAGAGAGGAGACGUUGGUGAGGCGGAAAGGCUCGAGUCAAGUACGGUAGAUACCCGAAAGGGACGGCUAACUAACGUGCCAGCAGCCGCGGAUAGUACGUAGGUCCGAGGCGUUGUCCGGAUUUAUUGGCGUAAAGCGACGCAGGUGGCUUCUUAAGGGUGCUGGUGGUAAAUGCAGUGGCUAACCUUGUAUGCAUUGGAAACUGGUAACUUGAGUGCGGAGGAGAGUGGCAUAUCCAUGUCGUGCGUGAAAUUGCGUGAUAUAGGAGGAACACCGGUGCCGAAAGCGGCUCUGCUGGGCCUGUAACUGGACCUGAGGUCGAAAGGCGUGGGGAGCAAACAGGAUUAGGAUACCUCUGGCUAGUCCGACCGCCGUAAACGAUGGUGCUAAUGUAGGGGAAGCUCUAAGUUACUCUGGUUAUCGACAAGCAACGACAGAUAAGCACUCCGGCCCUGAGGGAGUAGCGCAGGAGGUGACAAACGCUCACAAAGAAUUUGACGGGGCCCGAUAGCAAGCGGUGGCAGCAUGUGGUUUUCAUCGAAGCCACGCGAAGACUCUUACCAGGUAUUGAACUAUCUGCUUUCUAGAGAAGGAAGUUCCUUCGGGACACGGGUGAACAGGUAGUGCACCCAGGAAACAAACAGAGGUUUCGUCAGCUGUUCGUGAGAGUGUUGGUUAAGUCCCGCACGAGCGCAACCCCUAUUGUUUGUUGCCAUCAUUACGUUGGGGCCACUCUAGACGGGUAGACUGCCAGGUGAUAAACCGGAGGAAGGUGGGUUGACGUCAAAUCCUUCCUGCCCCUUAUACCUGGGCUACACCACGUGCCUACCUGGAUGUACAACGAAGGUGCGAGCGUGAAUGGUUUAGUAUCUCUUAGAACCAUUUCAGGUUCGGAGUUGUAGGCUGCAACUCCCUACAUGGAAGUCGAUCGCUAGUAAUCGCCGGAUCAAGGCCAUCGCCGCGCGUGAAUACGUUCCCGGCCUUGACAACGGCCCCAACACGGAGUUGGAGGUACGCCGAGUGAGGGUGCCUACCGGGAAGGGCGCUUCUAGGUCGACGAUGACUGGGGUGAGUCCGUAACAAGGUAGCCGUCGGAAGGGCGCUGGGAUACCUCCUUU
rnacentral:rRNA from 1 species